GUUAAGCGACUAAGCGUACACGGUGGAUGCCCUGGCAGUCAGAGGCGAUGAAGGACGUGCUAAUCUGCGAUAAGCGUCGGUAAGGUGAUAUGAACCGUUAUAACCGGCGAUUUCCGAAUGGGGAAACCCAGUGUGAUUCGUCACACUAUCAUUAACUGAAUCCAUAGGUUAAUGAGGCGAACCGGGGGAACUGAAACAUCUAAGUACCCCGAGGAAAAGAAAUCAACCGAGAUUCCCCCAGUAGCGGCGAGCGAACGGGGAGCAGCCCAGAGCCUGAAUCAGUGUGUGUGUUAGUGGAAGCGUCUGGAAAGGCGCGCGAUACAGGGUGACAGCCCCGUACACAAAAAUGCACAUGCUGUGAGCUCGAUGAGUAGGGCGGGACACGUGGUAUCCUGUCUGAAUAUGGGGGGACCAUCCUCCAAGGCUAAAUACUCCUGACUGACCGAUAGUGAACCAGUACCGUGAGGGAAAGGCGAAAAGAACCCCGGCGAGGGGAGUGAAAAAGAACCUGAAACCGUGUACGUACAAGCAGUGGGAGCACGCUUAGGCGUGUGACUGCGUACCUUUUGUAUAAUGGGUCAGCGACUUAUAUUCUGUAGCAAGGUUAACCGAAUAGGGGAGCCGAAGGGAAACCGAGUCUUAACUGGGCGUUAAGUUGCAGGGUAUAGACCCGAAACCCGGUGAUCUAGCCAUGGGCAGGUUGAAGGUUGGGUAACACUAACUGGAGGACCGAACCGACUAAUGUUGAAAAAUUAGCGGAUGACUUGUGGCUGGGGGUGAAAGGCCAAUCAAACCGGGAGAUAGCUGGUUCUCCCCGAAAGCUAUUUAGGUAGCGCCUCGUGAAUUCAUCUCCGGGGGUAGAGCACUGUUUCGGCAAGGGGGUCAUCCCGACUUACCAACCCGAUGCAAACUGCGAAUACCGGAGAAUGUUAUCACGGGAGACACACGGCGGGUGCUAACGUCCGUCGUGAAGAGGGAAACAACCCAGACCGCCAGCUAAGGUCCCAAAGUCAUGGUUAAGUGGGAAACGAUGUGGGAAGGCCCAGACAGCCAGGAUGUUGGCUUAGAAGCAGCCAUCAUUUAAAGAAAGCGUAAUAGCUCACUGGUCGAGUCGGCCUGCGCGGAAGAUGUAACGGGGCUAAACCAUGCACCGAAGCUGCGGCAGCGACACUGUGUGUUGUUGGGUAGGGGAGCGUUCUGUAAGCCUGCGAAGGUGUGCUGUGAGGCAUGCUGGAGGUAUCAGAAGUGCGAAUGCUGACAUAAGUAACGAUAAAGCGGGUGAAAAGCCCGCUCGCCGGAAGACCAAGGGUUCCUGUCCAACGUUAAUCGGGGCAGGGUGAGUCGACCCCUAAGGCGAGGCCGAAAGGCGUAGUCGAUGGGAAACAGGUUAAUAUUCCUGUACUUGGUGUUACUGCGAAGGGGGGACGGAGAAGGCUAUGUUGGCCGGGCGACGGUUGUCCCGGUUUAAGCGUGUAGGCUGGUUUUCCAGGCAAAUCCGGAAAAUCAAGGCUGAGGCGUGAUGACGAGGCACUACGGUGCUGAAGCAACAAAUGCCCUGCUUCCAGGAAAAGCCUCUAAGCAUCAGGUAACAUCAAAUCGUACCCCAAACCGACACAGGUGGUCAGGUAGAGAAUACCAAGGCGCUUGAGAGAACUCGGGUGAAGGAACUAGGCAAAAUGGUGCCGUAACUUCGGGAGAAGGCACGCUGAUACGUAGGUGAAGUCCCUCGCGGAUGGAGCUGAAAUCAGUCGAAGAUACCAGCUGGCUGCAACUGUUUAUUAAAAACACAGCACUGUGCAAACACGAAAGUGGACGUAUACGGUGUGACGCCUGCCCGGUGCCGGAAGGUUAAUUGAUGGGGUCAGCGCAAGCGAAGCUCUUGAUCGAAGCCCCGGUAAACGGCGGCCGUAACUAUAACGGUCCUAAGGUAGCGAAAUUCCUUGUCGGGUAAGUUCCGACCUGCACGAAUGGCGUAAUGAUGGCCAGGCUGUCUCCACCCGAGACUCAGUGAAAUUGAACUCGCUGUGAAGAUGCAGUGUACCCGCGGCAAGACGGAAAGACCCCGUGAACCUUUACUAUAGCUUGACACUGAACAUUGAGCCUUGAUGUGUAGGAUAGGUGGGAGGCUUUGAAGUGUGGACGCCAGUCUGCAUGGAGCCGACCUUGAAAUACCACCCUUUAAUGUUUGAUGUUCUAACGUUGACCCGUAAUCCGGGUUGCGGACAGUGUCUGGUGGGUAGUUUGACUGGGGCGGUCUCCUCCUAAAGAGUAACGGAGGAGCACGAAGGUUGGCUAAUCCUGGUCGGACAUCAGGAGGUUAGUGCAAUGGCAUAAGCCAGCUUGACUGCGAGCGUGACGGCGCGAGCAGGUGCGAAAGCAGGUCAUAGUGAUCCGGUGGUUCUGAAUGGAAGGGCCAUCGCUCAACGGAUAAAAGGUACUCCGGGGAUAACAGGCUGAUACCGCCCAAGAGUUCAUAUCGACGGCGGUGUUUGGCACCUCGAUGUCGGCUCAUCACAUCCUGGGGCUGAAGUAGGUCCCAAGGGUAUGGCUGUUCGCCAUUUAAAGUGGUACGCGAGCUGGGUUUAGAACGUCGUGAGACAGUUCGGUCCCUAUCUGCCGUGG
rnacentral:rRNA from 1 species